AUUGAACGCUGGCGGCAUGCCUUACACAUGCAAGUCGAACGGUAACAGGUCUUCGGAUGCUGACGAGUGGCGAACGGGUGAGUAAUACAUCGGAACGUGCCCGGGAGUGGGGGAUAACGAAGCGAAAGCUUUGCUAAUACCGCAUACGAUCUCAGGAUGAAAGCAGGGGACCGCAAGGCCUUGCGCUCACGGGGCGGCCGAUGGCAGAUUAGGUAGUUGGUGGGAUAAAAGCUUACCAAGCCGACGAUCUGUAGCUGGUCUGAGAGGACGACCAGCCACACUGGGACUGAGACACAGCCCAGACUCCUACGGGAGGCAGCAGUGGGGAAUUUUGGACAAUGGGCGCAAGCCUGAUCCAGCCAUGCCGCGUGCAGGAUGAAGGCCUUCGGGUUGUAAACUGCUUUUGUACGGAACGAAAAGACUCUGGUUAAUACCUGGGGUCCAUGACGGUACCGUAAGAAUAAGCACCGGCUAACUACGUGCCAGCAGCCGCCGUAAAAC
rnacentral:rRNA from 1 species